AACUUUUGGCAACGUAUCUCUUGGUUCUGGCAUCGAUGAAGAACGCAGCGAAAUGCGAUAAGUAGUGUGAAUUGCAGAAUUCAGUGAAUCAUCGAAUCUUUGAACGCACAUUGCGCCCUUCGGUAUUCCGUUGGGCAUGCCUGUUCGAGCGUCAUUUAAUCAUUCAAGCUCUGCUUGGUGUUGGGUGUUUGUUCCGCCUCAGCGCGUGGACUCGCCUUAAAUUCAUUGGCAGCCGGUAUGUUGGCUUCGUGCGCAGCACAUUGCGUCGCGAUUCUGGCAGGCCUCCUCCCAUUAAGCUUCUUUUAAGUUUGACCUCGGAUCAGGUAGGGAUACCCGCUGAACUUAAGCAUAUCAAUAAGCGGAGGCU
rnacentral:misc_RNA from 1 species